rnacentral:rRNA from 1 species
AGUGAACGCUGGCGGCGUGCCUAAUACAUGCAAGUCGAACGGAGUGGCGCACGGGUGAGUAAUGUAUAGCUAAUCUGCCCUACACUAGAGGACAACAGUUGGAAACGACUGCUAAUACUCUAUAGUGUAGGAUGAGGCUAUAUUGUAUCAGCUAGUUGGUGAGGUAAUGGCUCACCAAGGCUAUGACGCAUAACUGGUCUGAGAGGAUGAUCAGUCACACUGAACCUGGGAACCGGUCAGGAUGCCUACGGAAGGCAGCAGUAGGGAAUAUUGCUCAAUGGGGGAAACCUUGAAGCAGCAAGGCCUGUGGGGGAAUGCCACUUUUGGGAGCGUAAACCCUUUUGUUAGGGAAGCGGUACCUAACGAAUAAGCACCGGCUAACUCCGUGCCAGCAGCCGCGGUAAUUC